rnacentral:lncRNA from 1 species
CAUAGUACAAGGUCCACUAUGUGCCUCCCUUAAAAUCAUCAAUCUCAAGUCAGAGUCCUUCGGCACAUAAAUUCUUCCCCGAAAACUAAGAACCCCAUCAUUAUUUAACCCAAAGUCUCGAUUCUCCCCCCUCUCAACUUGCUAAAACCGAGAAACCAACGACUCAUCCACCAACUGCUAUUUCUUAAUCUGCUCCACCCAAGUCGGUCUCACUUGUAAUUCUGCCAAUAAGCUUCCAUCAUCAUACAAACUUAAACGAGCAAACAUUGCCUUCAAUUCCGCCACAGUCCUUCGACUUAACGCAUCAGCC